UUAUUACGAAACAUCAACGGUUUAUUUCUUAGAUAUAAUUUUGAGUUGUACGUUGAUAAAAAAAAAAUAUAAUUAUCACUUUCAUUAAGAAGAUGACAAAAAAAACGAAAAAAAAAAACAUUAUUUAUUCAAUAAAAAUACAUGUUAAUUAGAAAAAUGUCAAAAACUGAAUAUUAAAUAUAGUACUAUUAAUAGGAUAAGAUACUUUAAGGGACCUUACUUCGAAACGAAACUACCCUCCUUACACGCCCCAAUGACAUCAUAUGCAAUAAUUGCAAUCACUAAAACCACUAUGCAAUCGACC
rnacentral:lncRNA from 1 species